rnacentral:lncRNA from 1 species
CGUACAAAGCUUAAAAUGCUUCAUCCUUUAUCAUCCAUCCAUCUAUACAACUCUUAAAGUACUACAUCCUCUAUCCUCUAUUUGCUUAUACACAUUUUGAAGCACUCCAUCCUUUAUCAUUCAUCCACUUAAAAAAUUAGAAGUAUUUCAUUCUUUAUCAUCCAUCUACUUGCACAAAUCUUCAAGUAGUCCAUCAUCCAUCAUCCAUUCUUUUACACAAAUCUCAUAGUACUCCAUUCUCCAUCAUUCAUUUAUCAACAUAAAUCUUAAAGCACUCCAUCCUUUAUCAUUCUCUGCAUCAC